rnacentral:lncRNA from 1 species
GACAAAAAAGCUCAAGGCAGGAACAGCAGCCCAGGGACCUGAGACCAGCGUUCUCAAAUGAAGGUGAUCUGCUGUUAGAGGAGAAUUCUUCUGUCCUAGCUGUGUCUCUGUGAUCUGUGGAUGAGGGUGGGAAAGCACCACUCAGUCAAUUGGGGUGUACAAAAUGGAGUUUGAGAAGGUCUCACAUCCAGGUUGUUUUGAAGCAAAGUCCAAGCAUUGUAUCACUUCAUCUGCAAAUAUUUCAAUAAGUACCCAAAAGUGGUUGGACUGAGUCCCAUGAAGCCAGAUCACUUCUGACUGCAAGGAGCUUGGAAAAGCAAGUAUCUGGAUCUUUUACCAGCUAAAUUUGGAGCGAUGAGGCUUCCUCUUUGAAGAUCACAGGUGAGAAGAUUAGGUGCUUUCUCAGAAGCCCAGCAACCUGAUGGGAGUGUGGAGUGAGCAAGACCCAAAUCGGAGCUUCAUCCCUGCAUGGUUCAUUUUGCUUAUUUGGCAAACUUGCCCUGCAGAAUCUACUCAAGCUUCCUCAGUUUCUCAAAUCAUUCUUGGGCAACAAAUGAACAAGAAAGAGGACGUCUUAUUAUCUGGUGUCUGGCUUGCUGAUUUAAUAACCUAGGAGACAGUGUUUGAAGAACACAAACUCUAAAGUCCUUCACUUAAAAAAAAAAAAAAACUUUCCCAAAUUGCUUACCAUUUGGAAAAAUUGCCUUACCUUCUUCAGUCAUCUCUGAUGUUGUCAUCCUCAGAGUAAGAAGUACGCAUUCAUAAGGAACCAUAACGUCCUUCAGGAAAUCCAGUACACCCUACAAUUUUACCUAAAACUUUGAUGUUGUUUUUUCUGAGCAUUUUACCUUCUAGGGAAAUGGAUCUCAUGCUGUUUAUCAGUUUCUGAAAGUUGUUAUUAAUCUCCCCUCAUCCCAAAAUUGAAGAACUUUGCUUAAAUCUUAGAAUCAGAACUUUGGCUCCAGUAAUAAAGACUUUUCAAUAUCUUUAUCUGCCAUUGAGUCUUACCUAACGAAAUAAAGCCUCCAAAGUGGGAAUUUGAAAUGUUUUAGAAUCUUUUUUUUUCCUUUUGACAUAGUGAUUGGUGGGAUGCUACAGGCAGUUAGUGGUUAGGGUCCAGAAAUGCCAGACAUCUUGCAGUGAGAGGGAUAGUCUGUACAAGGAAGAAUUCUCACAUGUU